rnacentral:rRNA from 1 species
UUUAAAGAGAGUUUGAUCCUGGCUCAGGACGAACGCUGGCGGCGUGCCUAAUACAUGCAAGUCGAACGAACGGAGGAAGAGCUUGCUCUUCCAAAGUUAGUGGCGGACGGGUGAGUAACACGUGGGCAACCUGCCUGUAAGUUGGGGAUAACUCCGGGAAACCGGGGCUAAUACCGAAUGAUAAAGUGUGGCGCAUGCCACGCUUUUGAAAGAUGGUUUCGGCUAUCGCUUACAGAUGGGCCCGCGGUGCAUUAGCUAGUUGGUAGGGUAAUGGCCUACCAAGGCAACGAUGCAUAGCCGACCUGAGAGGGUGAUCGGCCACACUGGGACUGAGACACGGCCCAGACUCCUACGGGAGGCAGCAGUAGGGAAUCUUCCGCAAUGGACGAAAGUCUGACGGAGCAACGCCGCGU